rnacentral:rRNA from 1 species
UACAGAGGCCCCCAAGCGUUACUGAGAAUCACUGGGUUUAAAGGGUGCGUAGGUGGCGCGUUAAGUCCGUUGUGAAAUCCCUGGGCUCAACCCAGGAAUUGCUUCGGAUACUGGCGUGCUUGAGGCUAGUAGGGGUCACUGGAACUGACGGUGGAGCGGUGAAAUGCGUAGAUAUCGUCAGGAACGCCGAUGGUGAAGACAGGUGACUGGGCUAGUUCUGACACUGAGGCACGAAAGCGUGGGGAGCGAACGGG